UACGUAGGGUGCAAGCGUUGUCCGGAAUUAUUGGGCGUAAAGAGCUCGUAGGCGGUUUGUCGCGUCUGCUGUGAAAUCUGGGGGCUCAACCCCCAGCCUGCAGUGGGUACGGGCAGACUAGAGUGCGGUAGGGGGAGAUUGGAAUUCCUGGUGUAGCGGUGGAAUGCGCAGAUAUCAGGAGGAACACCGAUGGCGAAGGCAGAUCUCUGGGCCGUAACUGACGCUGAGGAGCGAAAGCAUGGGGAGCGAACAGG
rnacentral:rRNA from 1 species